AACAUUAGAAAUUCAGGUCUUAAGAGUGAAAUAGAAGGUUAGAUUGUUUUUAGAGCAUAUAGGCUAGAAUUUUAACAUAAAAACUCCAGAAAAAUUCAGAGUGAUAAUCGGCUGAAUUUUUGCAUUAAGAGGUCAGUUAGUUUGUUUGUUCCAUCGAAGCUUCAGAGUUCUUCUCCUUUGAUUGUUUGAAACUAGAAAAUUACUGCUCUUUUGAUUCUGGUGCCCUUUCAGUUAUUGCUUGAGGUUUCCGUUGGUUUUUCAAAUCUAUUCAUGGGUGUCUGUUGUUGCUUGAUAUUGGUUUACUGUUGUGGUUGCUGAACCUGUUGUUGCUGCGUUUUGUGCUACUUCCAUCACUGAUCUUCCUCCUCUUUCCUUGCUUUUCAGAAAUACCAGGUACACAUACUACACUUGCCUACAAUGUAGCUAGAACCUUUGAAGCAUCAAUAAAACAAGGGCCUUAAAGCUCGAAGUCAUCUAGUUUUUUUUUAUGUUAAGUUAUAUGUGUAUUAGUUAUUAGUUCAGUAAAAUAACGUGAGCAUCUAGAAAUGUAUGUAUAAGUAUUAAUCUGCAGUAGUUUAAAUCUACAAGUUCAAUCCCAUGUAUGCUAGCUAAAUAAAAAAACAAUGAAUUAGCAUGUCUAUUCUUCCAUUUCCAGUUCUCAUUUCAGUCAUAACAUAUUCAAGUGUAUGUUAGAUUCCAAGUUAAUCAAUAAGUAGCUGAGUUCUCUUAAUCAAUAAUUUGUGUAUUUGGACUCAAUAGAAAAGCAGGCUACGUUAGUUAACAACUUCUCUUUCUACCUGUUGUAAAUCUCAAAAGUAUAUACAGUAUAAUGUAGUUUAUGCCCAAACCAGUGUAUGAUGGCCUAGCCCCAAACCUUGCAUUAUUCACCGCUGGGGCUUGGGCCCAAAAAUGGCAAACACUGCCUCCUUACCCCCCUUCAUGUCUAAAUUAAUAUUGCGUUUAUAACUUAGUCGUAAUAAAUUCUAG
rnacentral:lncRNA from 1 species